AGAUUGAACGCUGGCGGCAUGCUUUACACAUGCAAGUCGAACGGCAGCACGGGGCAACCUGGCGGCGAGUGGCGAACGGGUGAGUAAUAUAUCGGAACGUACCCAAGAGUGGGGGAUAACGUAGCGAAAGUUACGCUAAUACCGCAUACGAUCUAAGGAUGAAAGCAGGGGGACCGCAAGGCCUUGUGCUCCUGGAGCGGCCGAUAUCUGAUUAGCUAGUUGGUAGGUAAAGGCCUACCAAGGCUACGAUCAGUAGCUGGUCUGGAGAGGACGACCAGCCACACUGGAACUGAGACACGGUCCAGACUCCUACGGGAGCAGCA
rnacentral:rRNA from 1 species